rnacentral:rRNA from 1 species
UACGGGGGGGGCAAGCGUUGUUCGGAAUUACUGGGCGUAAAGGGCUCGUAGGCGGCCAACUAAGUCAUACGUGAAAUCCCUCGGCUUAACCGGGGAACUGCGUCUGAUACUGGAUGGCUUGAGUUCGGGAGAGGGAUGCGGAAUUCCAGGUGUAGCGGUGAAAUGCGUAGAUAUGUGGAGGAACACCGAUGGCGAAGGCAGCCCCCUGGGUCAAGACUGACGCUCAUGCACGAAAGCGUGGGGAGCAAACAGG